rnacentral:rRNA from 1 species
UUAAGCGACUAAGCGUACACGGUGGAUGCCCUGGCAGUCAGAGGCGAUGAAGGACGUGCUAAUCUGCGAUAAGCGUCGGUAAGGUGAUAUGAACCGUUAUAACCGGCGAUUUCCGAAUGGGGAAACCCAGUGUGUUUCGACACACUAUCAUUAACUGAAUCCAUAGGUUAAUGAGGCGAACCGGGGGAACUGAAACAUCUAAGUACCCCGAGGAAAAGAAAUCAACCGAGAUUCCCCCAGUAGCGGCGAGCGAACGGGGAGCAGCCCAGAGCCUGAAUCAGUGUGUGUGUUAGUGGAAGCGUCUGGAAAGGCGCGCGAUACAGGGUGACAGCCCCGUACACAAAAAUGCACAUGCUGUGAGCUCGAUGAGUAGGGCGGGACACGUGGUAUCCUGUCUGAAUAUGGGGGGACCAUCCUCCAAGGCUAAAUACUCCUGACUGACCGAUAGUGAACCAGUACCGUGAGGGAAAGGCGAAAAGAACCCCGGCGAGGGGAGUGAAAAAGAACCUGAAACCGUGUACGUACAAGCAGUGGGAGCACGCUUAGGCGUGUGACUGCGUACCUUUUGUAUAAUGGGUCAGCGACUUAUAUUCUGUAGCAAGGUUAACCGAAUAGGGGAGCCGAAGGGAAACCGAGUCUUAACUGGGCGUUAAGUUGCAGGGUAUAGACCCGAAACCCGGUGAUCUAGCCAUGGGCAGGUUGAAGGUUGGGUAACACUAACUGGAGGACCGAACCGACUAAUGUUGAAAAAUUAGCGGAUGACUUGUGGCUGGGGGUGAAAGGCCAAUCAAACCGGGAGAUAGCUGGUUCUCCCCGAAAGCUAUUUAGGUAGCGCCUCGUGAAUUCAUCUCCGGGGGUAGAGCACUGUUUCGGCAAGGGGGUCAUCCCGACUUACCAACCCGAUGCAAACUGCGAAUACCGGAGAAUGUUAUCACGGGAGACACACGGCGGGUGCUAACGUCCGUCGUGAAGAGGGAAACAACCCAGACCGCCAGCUAAGGUCCCAAAGUCAUGGUUAAGUGGGAAACGAUGUGGGAAGGCCCAGACAGCCAGGAUGUUGGCUUAGAAGCAGCCAUCAUUUAAAGAAAGCGUAAUAGCUCACUGGUCGAGUCGGCCUGCGCGGAAGAUGUAACGGGGCUAAACCAUGCACCGAAGCUGCGGCAGCGACGCUUAUGCGUUGUUGGGUAGGGGAGCGUUCUGUAAGCCUGUGAAGGUGUGCUGUGAGGCAUGCUGGAGGUAUCAGAAGUGCGAAUGCUGACAUAAGUAACGAUAAAGCGGGUGAAAAGCCCGCUCGCCGGAAGACCAAGGGUUCCUGUCCAACGUUAAUCGGGGCAGGGUGAGUCGACCCCUAAGGCGAGGCCGAAAGGCGUAGUCGAUGGGAAACAGGUUAAUAUUCCUGUACUUGGUGUUACUGCGAAGGGGGACGGAGAAGGCUAUGUUGGCCGGGCGACGGUUGUCCCGGUUUAAGCGUGUAGGCUGGUUUUCCAGGCAAAUCCGGAAAAUCAAGGCUGAGGCGUGAUGACGAGGCACUACGGUGCUGAAGCAACAAAUGCCCUGCUUCCAGGAAAAGCCUCUAAGCAUCAGGUAACAUCAAAUCGUACCCCAAACCGACACAGGUGGUCAGGUAGAGAAUACCAAGGCGCUUGAGAGAACUCGGGUGAAGGAACUAGGCAAAAUGGUGCCGUAACUUCGGGAGAAGGCACGCUGAUAUGUAGGUGAAGUCCCUCGCGGAUGGAGCUGAAAUCAGUCGAAGAUACCAGCUGGCUGCAACUGUUUAUUAAAAACACAGCACUGUGCAAACACGAAAGUGGACGUAUACGGUGUGACGCCUGCCCGGUGCCGGAAGGUUAAUUGAUGGGGUUAGCGGUAACGCGAAGCUCUUGAUCGAAGCCCCGGUAAACGGCGGCCGUAACUAUAACGGUCCUAAGGUAGCGAAAUUCCUUGUCGGGUAAGUUCCGACCUGCACGAAUGGCGUAAUGAUGGCCAGGCUGUCUCCACCCGAGACUCAGUGAAAUUGAACUCGCUGUGAAGAUGCAGUGUACCCGCGGCAAGACGGAAAGACCCCGUGAACCUUUACUAUAGCUUGACACUGAACAUUGAGCCUUGAUGUGUAGGAUAGGUGGGAGGCUUUGAAGUGUGGACGCCAGUCUGCAUGGAGCCGACCUUGAAAUACCACCCUUUAAUGUUUGAUGUUCUAACGUUGACCCGUAAUCCGGGUUGCGGACAGUGUCUGGUGGGUAGUUUGACUGGGGCGGUCUCCUCCUAAAGAGUAACGGAGGAGCACGAAGGUUGGCUAAUCCUGGUCGGACAUCAGGAGGUUAGUGCAAUGGCAUAAGCCAGCUUGACUGCGAGCGUGACGGCGCGAGCAGGUGCGAAAGCAGGUCAUAGUGAUCCGGUGGUUCUGAAUGGAAGGGCCAUCGCUCAACGGAUAAAAGGUACUCCGGGGAUAACAGGCUGAUACCGCCCAAGAGUUCAUAUCGACGGCGGUGUUUGGCACCUCGAUGUCGGCUCAUCACAUCCUGGGGCUGAAGUAGGUCCCAAGGGUAUGGCUGUUCGCCAUUUAAAGUGGUACGCGAGCUGGGUUUAGAACGUCGUGAGACAGUUCGGUCCCUAUCUGCCGUGGGCGCUGGAGAACUGAGGGGGGCUGCUCCUAGUACGAGAGGACCGGAGUGGACGCAUCACUGGUGUUCGGGUUGUCAUGCCAAUGGCACUGCCCGGUAGCUAAAUGCGGAAGAGAUAAGUGCUGAAAGCAUCUAAGCACGAAACUUGCCCCGAGAUGAGUUCUCCCUGACUCCUUGAGAGUCCUGAAGGAACGUUGAAGACGACGACGUUGAUAGGCCGGGUGUGUAAGCGCAGCGAUGCGUUGAGCUAACCGGUACUAAUGAACCGUGAGGCUUAACCUU